rnacentral:rRNA from 1 species
AAUGGGUCAGCGACUUAUAUUCUGUAGCAAGGUUAACCGCAUAGGGGAGCCGGAGGGAAACCGAGUCUUAAUUGGGCGUUAAGUUGCAGGGUAUAGACCCGAAACCCGGUGAUCUAGCCAUGGGCAGGUUGAAGGUUGGGUAACACUAACUGGAGGACCGAACCGACUAAUGUUGAAAAAUUAGCGGAUGACCUGUGGCUGGGGGUGAAAGGCCAAUCAAACCGGGAGAUAGCUGGUUCUCCCCGAAAGCUAUUUAGGUAGCGCCUCGUGAAUUCAUCUCCGGGGGUAGAGCACUGUUUCGGCUAGGGGGCCAUCCCGGCUUACCAACCCGAUGCAAACUGCGAAUACCGGAGAAUGUUAUCACGGGAGACACACGGCGGGUGCUAACGUCCGUCGUGAAGAGGGAAACAACCCAGACCGCCAGCUAAGGUCCCAAAGUCAUGGUUAAGUGGGAAACGAUGUGGGAAGGCCCAGACAGCCAGGAUGUUGGCUUAGAAGCAGCCAUCAUUUAAAGAAAGCGUAAUAGCUCACUGGUCGAGUCGGCCUGCGCGGAAGAUGUAACGGGGCUAAACCAU